CCGGCCAGGGGCCCUCGCUAACGUCACAGGUCCCAUCGGGGCCUCUUCCGAGGCGGGAAAGCGGCGCGCUCAGUCGGAAGUGACGCACGCGCGCGUUCGGCAGAGUGGCGGCGUUUUAAGCUUAGCGGUCUGGGUCGGUUUGUACUCUUCUUCACCGCCUGGGCGGAGACUCCAGAAUUCUGGUGCUUUGCCGAAGGGAUCCAGGCCAGUCCGCCGACCUUCCGGAGCACACGAGACAACCGAAACUCGGCCUGCAGAGACGCCGGCAAGCCUGGGAAGGGGCCCGCGGGCCAUGGCUGCUCCUCCCAGGGUGGGUCCCGCGUCCCUGCGGUUUGUAGCUGCCGCCAGCUGGCUGGUCGUCCGCCAGCGCCGCGUGGAGCACUUCCCCAAAGUGUUACAGUUUCUGCAGUCCCUGCGCGCUGCGGUCCCCGGCUUGGUUUGCUACCGACACCAUGAACGCCUGUGUAUGGGACUAAAGGCCAAGGUGGUGGUGGAGUUGAUCCUGCAGGACCGACCCUGGGCCCAGAUCCUGAAUGCCCUGAAUCAUCACUUCCCAGAGUCGAGACCAGUACCGCUGGUUCCUGAAGUAACAAAGCAAGACAGGAAGAUUUUGGAAGCGCGGGAAAAUUUUUGCCUGCUCGUGAAACAGCUGUCGGAGGCAGAGGAUUUGGCUUCAAGCCUGCAAGAACUCGAACAAGACUAUGGAGAAUCCUUUCUGGUUGCCAUGGAAAAGCUGCUGUUUGAAUACUUGUGUCAGCUAGAAAAGGCACUGCCUACAGUCAGAGCACAAGAGCUUCAGGAUGUUCUAAAUUGGAUUCAGCCUGGCUCACUUGUCACCAAUUCUGUUGCUUUGCGCCAGUAUGGUAUGGACAUGGGAUGGCCACUUCCAGAGAGCUCUGAUUCUGGCUCAGUGAAUCUGCCAGAACCCAUGGAACGGAGUCCUCAUCGGCAAAUGAAACCAGCACUCCACAGUCCUCUGCUUAAUGCUAAACUUGACCUUCACCGACCGGCUUCACGGGAACACCCGGAACAUGUAGCUGGCAACUGCUUUAAUCUGGCCCCUCUAGGACAGCGAAAAUCCCGAUCACAGUGGACGUCUGCAAAGCGAUGCCAUAAAGAGCGGCCCACAGUCAUGCUGUUCCCUUUUAGGAAUAUGGACCUACCUGCCCAAAAUAAAUCUAACCCUAAACACAGGGAAGAGCAUGGACUGGACACAGCAGGUUCUAUGGGUACAAAAACAGUCUCCACAGGGAAGUCUAAGACUCCAUCUCAGACCCUCGGGAAAAGGACUCUAGAGGGCCCACCUGACUCAGAUGCAGCAGAGCAAAAAGAGAACUCUGUGAAUUGCUACAUGGAUCCUCUAAGACUCUCAUUGUCGCCUCCUGGAGCCAAGAAACCAAUGCAGUCCCCAUCUCUGUGUAGCUCUGUCAUUACCAUAGGGGACUUGGUGCUGGACUCUGAUGAGGAAGAAAACAGUCAGAAGGAAGGAGAGGAGUCUCUGAAAAACUAUCAGAAGACAAAGUUUGACACCUUUAUCCCCAUGUUUUGUGACUACAUGCCUGAGUCCUGCCUAUUCCUUCCUGGCAAGAUAACCAAUUCUAAGAACUCAUUCCAUAGAAGAGCUUGUACUUCUUGCCAUCCCUCUCAAUGAGUUCGCCACCUGAUUCACUGUGUCCAGCCAGCAUGCCACCCAGCAUCACAAAGUCAGCUCCAGCCCCUGCCAAAGUCAAGGAGUUGGAGAAAAGGUCAAGGUCAUUACUGCCCAAUCCUGAAGCCCUCUGUCUUCGGAGAAAAUGGAAAGACUGAAAUGUGGGCUAAAACAUCCAUCUGCCCAACUGUACUUGGAUAGUGCAGGCAUUCCCUGCAGUGCUGUGAAGAAAAUGAAGCCUUGGGUUUUGUCUCUCAUAAGCCUCCAAAAAAUGAAUAAAUAAAGCAUGGUUUUAUGUGCUA